rnacentral:rRNA from 1 species
AGAGUUUGAUCCUGGCUCAGGGUUAACGCUGGCGGUGUGCAUAAUACAUGCAAGUCGUGCGGUCUUUAAGGCAGCGGCGAACGGGUGAGUAACACGUUGGUAUCUCCCCCAGACACAGGGAUAACCAACCGAAAGGUUGGCUAAUACCGGAUGGUCCCGAAAGGGUAAAGCUACGGCGGUCUGGGAAGAACCUGCGGCCUAUCAGCUUGUUGGUGAGGUAAUGGCUCACCAAGGCUAUGACGGGUAGCUGGUCUGAGAGGAUGAUCAGUCACAAUGGAACUGAGAUACGGUCCAUACUCCUACGGGAGGCAGCAGUAGGGAAUCUUCCGCAAUGGGCGCAAGCCUGACGGAGCAACACCGCGUGAAGGAUGAAGCCCCUCGGGGUGUAAACUUCUUUUCUGAAGGAAGAACUCUGACGGUACUUUAGGAAUAAGCACCGACUAACUCCGUGCCAGCAGUCGCGGUAAGACGGAGGGUGCAAGCGUUACCCGGAAUCACUGGGCGUAAAGCGUCUGUAGGCGGUUUAAUAAGUCAGAAGUGAAAGCCUCCGGCCCAACCGGGGAAUUGUUUCUGAAACUAUUAAACUAGAGGGAGGAAGAGGUGAGCAGAAUUCGGUGAGUAGGAGUAAAAUCCGUUGAUUUACCGAGGAAUGCUAAAAGCGAAGGCAGCUCACUGGUCCUUUCCUGACGCUGAGAGACGAAAGCGUGGGUAGCGAACGGGAUUAGAUACCCCGGUAGUCCACGCCGUAAACUAUGGAUACUCGGUAUUGGCACUAACUUUAUGGAAGUGUCAGUGCUUCAGCUAACGCGUUAAGUAUCCCGCCUGGGGAGUACGGUCGCAAGAUUAAAACUCAAAGGAAUAGACGGGGGCCCACACAAGCGGUGGAGCAUCUGGUUUAAUUCGACACUAAGCGAGGAACCUCACCUGGAUUUGACAUCCCGGGAAUCUUUCCGAAAGGAGAGAGUGCCGUAAGGAACCCGGUGACAGGUGCUGCAUGGUUGUCGUCAGCUCGUGCCUUGAGGUGUUCGGUUAAGUCCGUAAACGAGCGCAACCCUUGCCCUAUGUUGCAUAUUUCUUAGGGGACUGCCGGCUCAAAGUCGGAGGAAGGUAAGGAUGACGUCAAAUCAGCAUGGCCCUUAUAUCCAGGGCGACACAGGUGCUACAAUGGCCGGUACAACGGGUCGCCAAGCCGCAAGGUGGAGCUAAUCCCUUAAAACCGGUCCAAGUUCGGAUCGGGGUCUGCAACUCGACCCCGUGAAGCUGGAAUCGCUAGUAACCGCGCAUCAGCCAUGGCGCGGUGAAUAUGUUCCUGGGCCUUGUACUCACCGCCCGUCAAGUUAUGGAAGCUGGGGGCGCCCGAAGUCCCUCUUUAGAGGGCCCACGGUGAAACCAGUGACUGGAACUAAGUCGUAACAAGGUA